UUUGCAAAAAAUAUUAAUAAUAAUAUACUUGUAUAGUUAAUGAGAGUACACCAACGUAAACAAAAAUCAACACACAAAGUUCGUGUGUACCAUGUUAUCACUGAAAUGUAGAACCCCAAGUGAAGCAAAUUUAGUUCAGACUUGAAAGCCUUUGUGCACAGUUAAAAUUUAUUUUUCUCCGCUCAUUUGGAAAGAAAGCAAGAGACAUGAAACUUAUAUUCCCUUUAAUCUUAUGUAUUUGUCUCGUAACGGCAGCAGAAAGAAUGGUACUAAAUAACACUACCAUUGCUUCUAAUGCUGCUUUUAUAUCUAGACGAAGUAUGAGAUGUCAAACAGUUAAUCAUCGUGGCCAAUGCAUUGGUGGAAGCUCUAAAUAAAACGAAUAUAGAAAAAUAUAGAGGAAAAUUAACACUUAAUAUGAUGACAACAUUAUGAUCGAUAAUCACUUCGUUGGAAUUUUGACUUCGAACAAAAAUAAUAGACAUAAAUAUAAAACUGCAAUGGUUAUUAGAUGUUAAGGAAAUAAUAAAUUUAGACUUUAAUAAAAUUGAGUGAUCUCAAACAUGCAAUACGCUCGAAGCUAACCUUUAAUUUUUAAUAUAAUAUAAUAGUCUACCUGAUUUUUGGGGGCAAACACUGGACCUGAAUAUAGUACUGGACGAACAAUUUCGGCAUUUCGUUUAGAGAAAGAAGAUACAUACUUAUAAAAUUGUUGAAAAAUAAUGCUAAAAUAUAUAUAUGUAAAUAAAUUGGUGGUUAUGUUAUUAUGGAUGGUCUAGCUCAACAUCGUGUAAUGGCCAUGUAUGACAAAAAUUCAAACAAAAACAAAAACAAAUUCUCCUUUAACUCAGAAAACAUUUGAAAUUCAGAAGAAGAUUGCAAAAGAAUAAUUACACGAUAAUUAGCAAUUUAACUGCAUACGACACUGAAAUUCUCAUAAGAAGAUUAGACUAGUAAAAGUGUUAUUUUCUAGGAACGAAAAAUUGAAAUCGCUCUCAGCGUCCGGUCAAAAUUUUUAAUCAGUGGUAAGGCACUUGCUCAACAAAUUCAUCUUCAGCUUCUCAAAGACGAAUUGAAUCUUGCUUAUUAUGUAUAAUAUAUGAAUACAUUGAAAAAGCUAUCUUUUUUCUCGAUAUUGGGCCAAACCAAUGGAGAGAUCGAAUUAUUUCCAUUCCUCGAAACACUUUUUGAGAUGGCCUUCAGCUCCUUCAGCAAAUUUUGUUUUAUCUCUUCGAUCGACUGUUUCCAUUUCGAUGAUUGUUGAGUUGCUUGCAUGUCAAGUACCUAAACUCAUGUCUCAUCGGCAGUUAUAAGUAAUAAUUAUAUGAAUUUCGGAUCGUAAUUCGAACGAUCAAGCAUGUCCAAAGAGACCUGUUUACGGCCAAAAAAAUCCAGCUUUAUCGGGACUAGUUGAGUAAGAACGUGUUUUAUACCAAAAAUAUUCACCAAAAUCAUUCGAACGAACUCAGAACAAAAAUCGGCUCCACAUUUAUCAUGUAGCUCCCGCAAAUAAAUCUGAACGUGGACUAGUACUGUGGAAGAAAAAGAGCAAUGAGGAAACACAGGUCUGGAACUGUUUUAAAGCAGUAGUGCAUGAUGUCCGUGGAAAUCAUAGAGCUGACAGUUAUGACGUGCUGAUCAAGGACAUGAAUACGAAUUUCUUUCAUCAUCGGACGAGCAAUGUCCCUAAACAAAAAUUUAAAGAUAGUAUGGCAGUUUAUUUGGAAGAACAAAGAAAAUGCUUCCAAAGCCAGAGCAAAUUCUAAAAACUAUUACAGGAUAAUGGAUACCUUUUUUUGUUUUGGGCUGCUCAAUUGGCUACAAAGAUCGUGUGAUAUCACAAUGUUACACUUUUUCUGUGUGGAUAUGUAAAGUAUAAAGUCUAUCCGGACAAUCCCGCUUCGAUUCAGACCUUGGAGCAAAACAUCACCCGUGUCAUUCGACAGUUACCACUCGAUAUGCCCGAUCGUUCACAAAAUAAAUGUGAGAGAAUGCUCUUAUGAAUGAUGAUAAAAACUCCCCAUUACAUUCGAAGUUUCUGUUUUUGUUUUUCUCUAAAAAAGUAGGGAACCUCGUAAUAACUGAGAAGAAUAUUCCGACAAUGUAGGUACUGUUGUAUGUUCUGCGCUCAAAGUUCGAUACACUUCCCUAAUACUGAUAUACAUUCAAUCGCAACUGCUGAGAUAUUUGUAAUUGUAGGAAACUUUUCACAUAGCCUGUGAAGCUCGAGUAUUUAAGGCAUGUAGUUCAGAUAUUUUCAUUUAUUUAGAAAAAUAAACAAUACAGUUCUAUGCAAUGCAAGUUUAUUAUAAAAAUCUCAAGUCGCUUAUCUCCAAAAUUAAAUCAUCGGCAAGAGGGCGUAUACGUAAACAAAUACAAAAAAACAAGAAUGAUGUCGACAUACGUACAAAUGUACACACGGUUAUAUAUUUUUAAAUGUCUAUAAGCUUAACUGAUAAUGAAUCAUACGUAACAAAAUUCAAUCACGGAAUAAAAUCGUUUCGGUUCAGAGUUAUUGCAGUUGCCUUACUACCGUUUUUUUAAAUUAAUUGUUUCGAAAUAGUGUUUUAAGUAAUUAUCUCAGUGCGAUAAUAUUGACUUAGUAUCCAGUAAGUUCAAAAAUUACUUUGAAGAUUGAAGUCACAUAUAGAAGCUAUAUAGUAAAUGUCAGGGCAUCGCUCUUCGUAGCCACGAGGGGUAGCAGGAAAGAACUCGGCAUCAAAUAGUUUUCAAAGGGCUUUUUAUCUGCCAACCAGUUAAUAACGAAGCCAAGUAUGAGAUUACGCUCACUCCAUUACGACUUAAAAAUCUUGGAAACUAGGUUCGAUCUCGAAACUACUUCGAACACAAAACAAUAAUUCACUUAGUUAGUGAAAUCUCAGAAAAAUCAAAGGCUUGCAUGAACGAUCUGAAUAUUUACAAAUAUCACUCACUCAAUCUCGUUUUCAUUAGUUAAAAACAAAUUACAAGGCUUACGAGCUUAGCUACGCAGAUAUUUAUUUUAGUAAACAUUCGAACUUCUAUCAGCACGGUUGUUAUAUUGUAUAUAUUUUCUGAAUCUCACAACAACAACAAAGUUGAAUUAAAUGGCAUCAUUAUAUUUAAUGCUUUUAUACAUUUCUCUUGUAACCACGGAUGGGAAUUUGCAAACCAACUACCUCAUGCACACGGAUAAUAUGGCCUUAGCAAGUAGACCCCGGUUGGGAUGCCAACAUUUUGAUCAUCGCGGCCGGUGUGUCGAUGAAGAAGCUAGACCAAAUUUGUUUCUAAGAAAUAACUACUAAAAUGCAAGGGUAACUGUAACUUGGAAUCGAUCUCAUCUUCCUAUCAAAAUUUUUAAUUCAAUGGUAAAGCGAAUUAUCAACAAUUGUAUCAGCUCUUCGAAGCCGGAUUUAAACAUGCUUGUUAUAUAUAAUAUAUUAGCUCAUUAGACAUAUAGCGAACUCGACAUUUUUCUGGGAACCAGUAUUUUAGAUUACUUGGAAUUGGAUCACACCACAUUUUUGUUAUUAUAAAUAUAGUAAUAAGAAAAUUGUAUACGAAUAUGUAUUGUAUGUAUGGUAUAUGCGUGUAAAGCAUUCAAAUUGCAUAUAGAAGACCAAUUUGACAAACGCUUCUUUUUGACUAUAAAAUGUAGAACGGCUUCGAACAAACUUUAGUAAACAUUUGGAAAUCUAUUGGCAAAGUUGAGGCAUAAUUUUUCUCUCAAAAAAUAUCAAAAUAAAAAAUACAAAAAUGAGAUUCAUGUACUUAUUGAUUAUCUUGUACAUUAGCAUAGCAGC